AAAGAAAGAGGGAGGCAUGCCUAACACAUGCAAGUCGAACGAGACCUUCGGGUCUAGUGGCGCACGGGUGCGUAACGCGUGGGAACCUGCCCUUAGGUUCGGAAUAACUCCCCGAAAGGGGUGCUAAUACCGGAUAAUGUCUUCGGACCAAAGAUUUAUCGCCUUUGGAUGGGCCCGCGUUGGAUUAGCUAGUUGGUAGGGUAAAAGCCUACCAAGGCGACGAUCCAUAGCUGGUCUGAGAGGAUGAUCAGCCACACUGGGACUGAGACACGGCCCAGACUCCUACGGGAGGCAGCAGUGGGGAAUAUUGGACAAUGGGCGAAAGCCUGAUCCAGCAAUGCCGCGUGAGUGAUGAAGGCCUUAGGGUUGUAAAGCUCUUUUACCCGGGAUGAUAAUGACAGUACCGGGAGAAUAAGCUCCGGCUAACUCCGUG
rnacentral:rRNA from 1 species